CGGGCUGAGCGCGGGCCCGUGUCCGGGAGCGAGCGGCGGCGGGGGGACUGCGAGAGGCCGCGCUAAUUGAGGAUCCUCCACCAGACCCACGUUCAUCAUCUUCCUUUAGAGUCCAACUUCUGCAUCCAUAGAGAGCAACACUCAAUACAUAAAGGCGACAUCCCAAAUCACCUAGGAAAAUCCUUUCAUGGGGUGAUCAGAGAAGAGUAACCCCUGUAAGCAGAAUUGAAGGAAAUUGCUAAAAAGACCUGACUCUUCUAUUUGCAGUUCUUAACCAGAG